ACCCACCUCAGCCUCCCAAAGUGCUGGGAUUACAGGUGUGAGUAAUCAUGCCCGACCAGUUGCUAGCCCCCCCCCCUUUUUUUUUUAAGAGAAGAGGUCUCACUCUGUCACCCUGGCUGGAGUGUGGUGACAUGAUCACUGCCGCCAUGACCUCUUGGGCUUACAUGAUCCUCCCACCUAGGCCUCCUGAAUAGCUCGGACUACAGGUGUAUACCCCAUGCCUGGCUAACUUUGUUUUGUAGAGAGGGCACCUCACUGCACUAUCCACGCUGCUUGCUGCCUUAAUGCGCAUUUACAGUCUUCCUUUUGUGGCCACAGGACUACAGAAACCACACUCCAGCACAGCACCAAUCAUCUCUUUCUUGCAAACCCACAGCCCUCUUCUAGCCUCAUUUCCUGUGCCCACCUGAUCCCUUGUGACUAGCGUAGUCCUCUCCAACCCUGCCCUUUAUGCUGCCCCUACUCCCCUAAUCCCCCGAGAUCCCCUUCCCCUAAAAGACAAGGGAACAUCAUUUACACAGCUCCUGCUGUGACAGCCAUGCCUAACUGGCCUAAAAAAUGAUUAGUUUAAUAAACACAAAAUUUGAUUUCAAAGAUCUUUCCUGUCACUUUAAGUGGCAAAAGCAGGCCAUAACUUUGUAUAUUCAACCAGGUAGGAAAAGAG
rnacentral:lncRNA from 10 species